UACGUAGGCAGCGAGCGUUGUUCGGAAUUACUGGGCGUAAAGAGUGUGUAGGCGGUGCUCUAAGUUCGGUGUGAAAUCUCCUGGCUUAACUGGGAGGGUGCGCCGAAAACUGGAGUGCUCGAGCGUGGGAGAGGAAAGCGGAAUUCCUGGUGUAGCGGUGAAAUGCGUAGAUAUCAGGAGGAACACCUGUGGUGUAGACGGCUUUCUGGACCAUUGCUGACGCUGAGACACGAAAGCGUGGGUAGCAAACAGG
rnacentral:rRNA from 1 species